UUUCACAACUUAAUCAAAUAAGGUAAUGCUGCUUCAAUUGAUUAGCUCAGACACAAUCAAGUAACAGUUUCAUUUUUUUUAUCAAUAAAUAAUUAAAUUAAAUUAAAUAACUUUUUUAUCACUAUUAGUUGUAAUUCUAUACCUUCAUAUAUUUACCAACUAUAACGAGCCUAAACCAGAUUGGUAGCAACACCUCAUUAGCUGCAACACACAUCCAAUAACAUUCUAUGAUUGAUGCAAGCCUUGAUUUAGCUUUGGAUAUCAACCGCCGUGAUUUGGCCAAGGACUGCCAAAUCCACCAGCAGAACCACUGAUAGCGUCCCACAUCCCUUCACUUGGGUUAAGUUUUCCCUGCAUAACUCUUUGAUGGACCACCUUCAAAAUCCAUCUACGUGUUGUCAAUAACAGCGUGGAUCCCCUCAACCAAUUUUUCCAAACCAGCAUAUUAAAACUGAUGGAGCAGCAUAGCAUCAAAGGUGAUACCAACAGCUUCAUGUUUGAGAUCACACCUCACACCAAUGCAUCCACACAUAGAUGAGUACUUGCAACACUUUAAUACCUCACUGCGGAACCAUCAUCCAACAACUGUCGUGAUUUGGCGUGAUUAGGCCAAGGAUAGCUACUGCCAAAUCCACCAGCAGAACCACUGAUAGCAUCCUACAUCCCUUCACUUGGGUUAAGUUUUCCCUGCAUAACUCUUUGAUGGACCAUCUUCAAAAUCCAUCUUCGUGUUGCCAAUAGCAGCGUGGAUCCCCUCAACCAAGUUUUCCAAACCAGCAUAUUAAAACCGAUGAAGCAGCAUAGCAUCAAAGGUGAUACCAGCAGUUUCAUGUUUGAGAUCACACCUCACACCAAUGCAACCACUCAUAGAUAAGUACUUGCAACACUUUAAUACCUCACUGUGGAACCAUCAUCCAGCAACCCUUUCCCAACCCAUCUUUGACAUCACAGCACAACACCAUCCAUGGAUUCGUGUUUAGGCCAACUAUCCAUUGUCCUGUUUUUUAUGGCCCUUUAUUAAGAGAUAAAGAGCUUCACAUGCUUCCACAACUCGCAAUGAACCAGCAUCCCAACAAUCCAUCCAGCAUCUCCAACAGGACCAGCACACCAGUAUGGGCAACACCAUCAACCAUCAAACCAGGCAACACUGGUUUAACAUCACAACUGCCAUUCAUUCCAAACAUAAAACCAAGGAUACUGCUUCCAGGUCCUUUCAGCAUUUUCGAUUGAGUCCCUUAGAAGGAGAUAACCGUUAUAGAUAUCUUGCUACCUAUAUAGUAGUGGAACUGCUACUCCACCCACCUCCUUCACAAUCACCCCAUUUCUCACUUCCUACCUCCUCCAAUACAUAGUAGCACUACCCUCCCUCCUCCUUCAAGACAUCAUGGUUCCACCAUACGCUUACUUAUAGCUGCUAAUGCAAGGCAUUGGAUUCAAUACCCAAUCUGCAAAGGAGUAAUUAAAAUUAUGUGCCUUAUGUUUCAUCCAUAACCACGAUAUAAGUUGGGCCUUUUGGAGCACUUCUUCUGCAUCUACAACUCAUUGGUUGAACACAACUGAGUUUCUAUGGUCCCAUAAACACUGGACAAUAGCUGCCCAUACCCCUUUCCACACCAGGUUUUGUUUAUUACUACUCUGAGACAGGUGGAAGCUCUCAAAGUGAGGUAUAAGGUCUUUAUGUUGGACGAAUAGAAUUCCAAUCCAUUGAAAGCACAAGGACCAAACACAUAAAGCAUAUUUGCAUUCCAAGAAGAGGUGUUGACAAGACUCUUCCUUGGUUUGACAUAGAGCACACAUAGUGGUGUUUAACACCAUCCCUCUCCUACUCAGACACUCUCUUGUUGGCAUUCUACCCAGCAAAACCCUCCAAGCUGUGAUCAACACUUUUGGGAACGCCUUACUCUUCCACAGAUACUUGAACGCAUCAAUUUGGGGGGCCCAUUCAUCCUUGGCUAGGCAUUCGUAACCAGAAUUCACCGUAUAGCACCCUGAUUCGUCACCUCUCCACACCUUGUCGUCCUUCUCUUCCUUGAGAACAGUGGCACUAGAGAUGUGCCUACCAAGCUCAAUUACCAACGGUAUCUCCACUCAAAUCUUCCAUGCCUCCACCUUAAUGUCCACUUCCACGUUGAUUCUUCCCACACACCUACCACUUCCACCUUUUGACCUUGGUUUAACGAUAGUGAAUAUAAUCUGGGGAACAUAGAUUUGAGAUUAGAGUUUCCCACCCAGACAUCCUCCCAGAACCUUACUUUAUCUCCGCUCCCAAGCUUCCAUCCAACUUCUUCUUGAAACCACCCAUUUCCUCCUCCCUCCUUACAAACCUUCAAUAAAUCUCUCCACCACCAGGAUUGUAAUUUUGAGGCAUUGUAGAUUCAUAACGAAAUGAAAUGGAAAAGAUCCAAC
rnacentral:lncRNA from 1 species